rnacentral:rRNA from 1 species
UGGGGAAUAUCGGACAAUGGGCGAAAGCCUGAUCCAGCAAUGCCGCGUGUGUGAAGAAGGCCUUCGGGUUGUAAAGCACUUUGAUCUGGGAAGAAAAAGCUUUGGCUAACAUCCAAAGCCUUGACGGUACCAGAGGAACUAGCACCGGCUAACUCUGUGCCAGCAGCCGCGGUAAUACAGAGGGUGCUAGCGUUAAUCGGAUUUACUGGGCGUAAAGCGUGUGUAGGCGGUUCGUUAAGUCGGAUGUGAAAGCCCUGGGCUCAACCUGGGAAUUGCACUCGAUACUGGCGAGCUAGAGUACGGUAGAGGGCGGCGGAAUUCCGGGUGUAGCGGUGAAAUGCGUAGAUAUCCGGAGGAACACCGAUGGCGAAGGCAACCGCCUGGGCCUGUACUGACGCUGAGACACGAAAGCGUGGGGAGCAAA